rnacentral:lncRNA from 1 species
CAGCUUGUCUAACUCUGCUGUUUCUCUAGAAAAGAAACAACUGAAAUGAACUUAUACAAUAUUUCUGCUCCAUAUGGCAGUUCUAGAAAAAAUAAUAGUAAUAAUAAAAACAGUUGACAUGAUGUAAUGUGAAUGCACUCAAUUUUCAAACAAUAUGAUCAGUUUUUGUAGGAAUUUCUGACAAAUUCAUAGAAUACAAGUCAUUGUACUUAGUUUUGAUGACUAGUUGACUUCUUCAACAGAAAACAGUAAGCAAAUAUCAUUAAUAAUUGUAUAAACUAUUCAUUUUCAGCUUAAGUUUGUAAAGAGAGUGAAGCUUCUUUCUUUUGAACCAAUGAUGUCAAAGACCACUGUAUAUGCAUUAGCCAUUUUUUUUAGUUCCUUUUUCAUAGCUUUGUCCUUUGGGGAAACUCCAAGCUUGGAAGUUGAAGUUGCUGCUUUGAAAGCUUUCAAGAACUCAAUCACUGAUGACCCUUUUGGUGCACUUGUGGAUUGGACUGAUGCAAAUCACAUUUGCAACUGGUCUGGAAUCAUAUGUGAUCCUUCUUCAAACCAUGUCAUCAACAUUUCGCUUAUUGGGAUGCAGCUCAAAGGCGAGAUUUCUCCGUUUCUAGGAGACCUCUCCAAACUCCAGGUUCUUGAUCUAACUUUGAAUUCAUUUACUGGAAAUAUCCCAGCCAAGCUGGGGCAUUGCACUGAGCUGGUUCAGCUCAUUCUUUACCGAAACUUUCUUUCUGGUGAAAUUCCUACCGAGCUAGGAAACCUCAAAAACCUGCAAUUAUUAAAUUUUGGAAAUAACUCUUUGAGUGGGAGAAUACCUGAGAGUAUAUGCAACUGCACUGAAUUGUUGUUAGUAAGCCUCAUCAACAACAGCCUCACAGGCAAAUUACCAUCUGAAAUUGGUAAUUUGGUCAAUCUUCAAUUGUUUGAAGCUUAUAGAAACAAUUUGGUUGGUUCUAUUCCUACCUCCAUUGGAAUGCUGACAGCUCUGCAAACCCUUGAUCUGAGCUCAAACCAGUUUUCUGGACCUAUACCACCAGAAAUUGGCAACUUGUCAAGUUUAGAAACUCUUCAGUUGCAUCACAACUUUCUUUCUGGGAAAAUCCCAUCUGAACUUGGCCUCUGUAUCAAUCUUGUUACCUUGGACAUGUAUAAUAACCAAUUCACUGGAGGCGUACCUCCUGAGCUAGGAAAUUUAGAAAAUUUGCACAGGCUCAGAUUGUAUAACAAUAAGUUGAACUCCAGUAUACCUGCCUCAUUGUUCCACCUGAAGUCAUUAACUCAUUUAGGACUCUCACAUAAUGAGCAAACUGGUAAAAUUCCUCCUGAGUUUGGAUCUUUAAUGUCACUACAAGUGCUUACCCUCCACUCAAAUAGGUUGUAUGGGGAGAUUCCAUCAACUUUGACAAACCUGGCAAACUUGACAUAUUUGUCUUUGAGCUUUAAUUUAUUGACAGGAUCACUUCCACCGGAACUUGGGUUACUCUAUAAUCUGAAGAAUCUAACUGCAAGUAAUAACCUCCUAGAGGGACCUAUUCCAUCUAGCAUAACAAAUUGUUCUCAUCUUCGUGUUUUAACCCUCACCUUUAAUAGAAUAACAGGUAAAAUACCAAAUGGGUUGGGGAAGUUGUCCAAUCUUACAUUUUUGUCUUUGGGAUCAAACAAAAUGUUGGGGGAGAUUCCUGAUGAUAUCUUCAACUGUUCAAUGCUUGAAGUUCUAGAUCUGAGUGGUAAUAAUUUUAGCGGGAAGCUCAAACCGAUGAUUGGCAGACUCUCUAAACUUCGAGUUCUAAGAGCUCAUAGUAAUUCAUUUCUUGGGCCAAUCCCACCAGAGAUUGGUAAACUGAGUCAACUGAUAGAUUUAGUGCUUCACAAAAACAGUUUCUCAGGUGUGAUACCACCAGAACUUUCAAAGCUUUCAAACCUCCAGGGCCUUUCUCUGUCAGACAAUAAGCUGGAAGGUGAACUUCCUGUGCAACUUUUUGAGCUUACACGCCUCUAUGAACUCCUGCUGCAGAACAAUAAUUUCUUCGGUCCAAUCCCCAAUCAGAUAUCCAAAUUAGAAUCACUUUCACUCCUGGACCUGAGUGGAAAUAAGCUUAACGGUACAAUCCCAGAGAGCAUGGUGAGCCUCCGCAGACUGACGACCUUAGAUGUUUCACACAACCUUCUAACCGGAACUCUUUCCAGAGCAGUACUUGCCAGCAUGAGAAGUAUGCAAUUUUACUUGAACGUUUCCAGCAACUUGUUGGAUGGAGAGAUCCCAUAUGAGAUUGGCAUGUUAGAAAUGGUUCAAGGGAUUGAUAUGUCAAACAACAAUCUAUCAGGCAACAUUCCCAGAUCCCUAGGACUCUGCAAAAACUUAUUCUCACUAGACCUAUCAGGAAACAUGCUGUCUGGUCCUGCUCCAGGCGAAACUCUGACCAAAUUAAGUGAGCUACUAUUCUUGAACCUCUCAAGGAACAGAUUAGAAGGCAAACUUCCUGACAUGGAAGGAUUGCCACAUCUUCGCUCACUUGAUCUUUCACAAAACAAGUUCAAGGGAAUCAUUCCUGAGAGAUUUGCCAAUAUGCCUGCAUUAAUAUAUCUCAACCUUUCUUUUAACCAGCUUGAAGGUCACAUUCCAAAGGGGGGUGUAUUCGACAACUUAAGGUCAGCAGAUUUACAGGGAAAUCCAUCUCUAUGUGGAACAGAGUUUCUCAGUCCAUGCAGCAUCAAAAGAAACCAAACAAGUUCUCAUGGGUUUUCCAAGAAAACCUGGAUCAUACUUGGGCCUGUUUUGGUUCUCAUUCUUUAUGUGGUGGGAAUAUUUUUGUAUCAUCUGUAUAUGAAGAAGCAAAAAGUGAAAGACACGGAAGAUAUAAUUCCAAAUUAUACCUCAGCACUUAGCCUCCAGAGAUUUUAUCAAAAGGAUUUGGAACAUGCUACUGAUAAUUUCAGUCCACAAAACAUUAUUGGAGCCAGCAGUUUAAGUAAUGUGUACAAAGGAACACUGGAAAGUGGGAAGAUUGUAGCAGUUAAGAAACUGAAUCUCCAGUUCUCAGCAGAAAUUCGUAAAUGCUUUGAUAGGGAGGUCAAGACUCUGAGCCAACUCAAACACAGGAACCUGGUUAAGGUGCUCGGUUAUGCUUGGGAAAGCAAGAAGCUAAUGGCUGUAAUUUUAGAAUACAUGGAGAAUGGGAACUUGGACAGUUUUAUUUAUGGUCAAAUGGCGGAUGAAUGGACAUUGUCCAAUAGGAUAGACAUUUUAGUUUCAGUAGCAAGUGGGCUGUCAUACCUGCAUUCAGGAUAUGAUUUUCCAAUAGUGCACUGUGACUUGAAGCCUUCAAAUAUUCUUCUGGAUAAAAAUAUGGAAGCACAUGUGAGUGACUUUGGGACAGCUAGGAUGUUGGGUAUUCAUCACCAAGAUGGGAGCAGCAUAUCAUCAGCAUCUGCAUUUGAAGGAACUAUUGGUUACAUGGCACCAGGUAAUAAUUAUUACAACAUCACUUCUGUAAAUCACAAUACACAGCUUAGCAGAUUUUCUUUUCCCGUCAAUCACAAAAUAAUGAUUAAUUUGUAUGUGGAAGAAUGGACAAGCAUUUAAGUGAUCCAAUGUUUUGAACAUAUAAUCUGAAAAGUAUUUUUUAAUGAUAAUACCAACUUUAGUCUAACCAGAAAAUGCUAGUGUCAGCUUUAGAAUUUUGAAUUUCUUGAACAUUUUACAUGCUCCUUAUUUAAUUUGAGACCUAACUCAAAUGAAAUGUUUUUCUAUGAAACAGAGUUUGCAUAUAUGAGGAAAGUGACCACAAAAGUAGAUGUAUUCAGCUUUGGUGUAAUUGUGAUGGAGAUCAUUACAAAAAGAAGGCCAACAAGUCUAACAGGUGCAGAUAAAUUACCAAUGACUUUGAAUCAAGUUGUUCAGAAUGCCCUUGCGAAUGGCAUAAGCAAGCUGGUCCAGAUUGUGGAUCCUAAUUUAGCUUCACAUGUCUCCAAGAACCAGGAGAUAGUAGAGGGACUUCUUAACUUGGCUUUAUCCUGCACCUCUCCGGAUCCUGAAGAUAGACCUGACAUGGAACAAGUUCUGUCUUCUCUUUCAAAGCUAAGUAAGAUGGAGAGCAUGCAUUCACACGCUUGUUUGGUAUCAUCAUUCUUAAUAUGAACCACCACCAAGUUUCCCUCGGUGGCCAAUGGAACUAGUCCACAACUGAAAAUGUAAUUACAAUUUAAAUAGAACUUACGUUUUUCAAGCCAUAAUUAUCUUUCAGGUAUUCCUGCUUUACUAGAGGGGUAUGGUUGAACUCUCACAUUAGAUUAAGUUAAAGUUGACUUGCAUCAUGAAAUUGAAGAACUCUGUACAUUAAUUACAACUAAGGAACAAAAAGCUAGAUCUUUACGAAGUACUCCAGUGACGUGUAAUAGUCAGCGAGCAGUUGAUUGCUAGACUAAAGUGCCAAUGCAUUCUGUUACUAGAGAUUGCCUACAGGAAAUGAGUACACUUUUGAACACGAAUAUAUAGAAGUGAAAUUGAGGAGAACUCAAAAAGAGGCCUUAAUAAGACUACAAUGAUACAUCAUAUUUUACCUUAAAAUAUGCAUUUUAGAAAUUUAUUUACUAUGCAAGAACUCAUCAAUGUAAGAGGGAAACUCAAAGCUUCCAAAACCAUCAAAAAUCUCCUAAGGAAUAAGAGCAGCUUUGCCUAAAGGCAGAUGAGCUAACCUAAAUGAUUCUCUUCGCUCUCCAGUACCCUUAUCCAGAAAAUGCUCAAUCCAACCUUCUAAUCUCUCCACUUCUUCUUCACUUUUUGCCCCCUUAACCCCAACAAUCUUUCCAUAAAAUGCAUCAUCACAGCCCAAAUCCACUUCCACCCUUUUGGAUCCUUCCCUUUUACCCUCCGAUAAACACAAUAGCUGCAUCAUCAGUUUACCCUCAUCAACCCCAUUACCACUAGCUUCAACUAUACCAACACUUUCUUGGGCAAGUGAGGAAUUAGAGAGAAAUUGAAGUGGGGUUUCACUUUCUUUAAGGUUUGUGUAUCUGGUGAUGGAGUCAGCAGGGGUCUCAUCACAGUUGAGGUAUAAUGGGCUGAUCAAAGACUGGUCGGUGUCUCAACGGCUUCUCGUUGAGAUGGGUCGUCAAGUUUCAAUCUUUUCUCCAAUUGUUUGAGAGAUGAGAAGAAAUUGGAAUGUGGAGAAGGUCUUUGCAUUAUUUUUUUAGUGAAUCAGAACUUGAAUUGAGUUUUUAGUUAUGGAAGGUUGAAGAAUGGAAAGGAAAAAAGAGCGCCAACUGCUGCAAAGGACAAUUUAAUCACUUUUGUUUGAAAUUUUACGCCGAUUUGGGAUUUCUGGGUAUGUUAUUUAAGGUAUUUUCUGAAUUAAUCCAUAUUCUCAAUGUUUAAAGAGCUUUGAUAUCCAGGGUCAGAUCCAGAGGUUCUGGUACGGGUUUACGAGAACCAAAUAACUUUUGCUUAUAUUCUGUAUGUGUUAAAAAUCUGAUUGUGAAUAGAAUUAUCAUUGAUUUAAAAGGUUCUAGGAUGACCUUUCAAUACAAGUGACUUUCCUUGUGCAUGUUUAUAGCUUGGAUCAUAUAGUUGCUAAUAAGAGUAUCCGAAAAAUGGAACAGGGAGAGAACAUAGCUACUGAAGUUUUGUGGAAAGUGUAUUCAUUUGUUUGCGUGAAACCAUGCAGUACAAAUGCUGAUAAGAGUAAAAAUAUAUUCAGAAAGGAGAAAAAGGAAUGUGUAAUAUAGCCACAUAGGUAUAACAUUGAGGAUAUAGACAAAUGAUUUCUCACAUGAUCACUCAACUAAUAUGUUAGCCAUUAUCUCAUAAAGUCACCUUAUUCUUGAUUCUAAUUUGUUUUUAACAAGAGUGACUUCUGAGAUAAUAACUAUCAGUUGAGUGACACUUUGAAGGAAACCAAAUUGCAGUAGAAUUAUCUGUUGUUCAACUGGUGGAUCACAAUUUGAUAGCAUUAGCAUUUCCUGCUCAUUUGGCAAAUUAAAGUCCAAUACCAAUAACCACGACUCUGUUUCAUUUAGAUACAUUAUGCUUUGAAAAAUCUAGUCCGAAUUUAGAUUUUUCCCAAUCAGGAGUUGGCAUGUAUGGUGGUGGAUUUUUGAAACAUUUACUUGGCCAGAAUAUGUUGUAUAAAGCACUGUUAUGUUCACAUGUGUCUGUUUGCCUAGGCGUAGGACCACUUGUAUGAGUGGUUGAGAAUAUGCCUGCUACUAGAAAAAUAGAAAUUAGUAAUGGACAAAUUUCGUAGUUAAACGACAAGUGAGCAAUUUAACGAUGAAGUUCAUAACCAGUAGAAGUUUUUUUUUUUAUAGAACGAUGAAAAUGAACUAACAUAACGGUUCAUUUUUCCCCUUAUUCCUUUCUAUUUUACACAGAGAAGGGAUUCGGGCUGUAAUUACUUCAAAAUGCCUGUAAUAGUGGUGUUGUCUUUUACCCUGCUGGAAGAAAAAUAUAUAAAGAAUGUCCUAAUGGAAAAAAGUAGAAGAUACUUUAAUGUAAGCUCAACAACAAAGACAGAGAGAAAUCUUUGUAGCCACAGAACAUUGGUUGGUCCCCCAAGUAAAAAUCUUGGAAGAUUUUUGGAUUUGUGAUUGCCAAGUGUGAAUGGAGAGUAAUCUUGACAUCCAAUGAGAUCAUAGAUAUAGAUAUCACUAGAUAAGGACUCUUCCCUAUCUUACUUACUAUAUAUAGUGAAGUUUCAAUAACUUCAGCUCAUCACAACUAACUUUUACAUAUCAAACUAGCAACCCCCUCACUUUCCUCUCUUUAUAAACCAUGGCAGCUGCUACAAUGGCUCUUUCUUCCCCUUCUUUUGCUGGACAGGCAGUGAAACUCUCACCCUCUGCCUCAGAAAUCACUGGAAAUGGAAGGAUCACUAUGAGAAAGGCUGUCGCCAAGUCUGCCCCAUCUAGCAGCCCAUGGUAUGGCCCUGACCGUGUUAAGUACUUGGGCCCAUUCUCUGGUGAGUCCCCAAGCUACUUGACCGGUGAAUUCCCUGGUGACUACGGACCGUGUUAAGUACUUGGGCCCAUUCUCUGGUGAGUCCCCAAGCUACUUGACUGGCGAAUUCCCUGGUGACUAUGGAUGGGAUACCGCUGGACUUUCAGCAGACCCUGAGACCUUUGCCAAGAACCGUGAACUUGAGGUGAUCCACUGCAGAUGGGCUAUGCUUGGUGCUCUUGGAUGUGUCUUCCCUGAGCUAUUGGCCCGUAAUGGUGUCAAGUUCGGUGAGGCUGUGUGGUUCAAGGCCGGAUCCCAGAUCUUCAGCGAGGGUGGACUUGACUACUUGGGCAACCCAAGCUUGGUCCAUGCACAGAGCAUCUUGGCCAUCUGGGCUUGCCAAGUUGUCUUGAUGGGAGCCGUUGAAGGUUACCGUAUUGCUGGUGGACCUCUUGGUGAGGUUGUCGACCCACUCUACCCUGGUGGCAGCUUUGACCCAUUAGGCCUUGCUGAAGACCCAGAGGCAUUUGCUGAGCUCAAAGUAAAGGAGAUUAAGAACGGCAGACUUGCUAUGUUCUCUAUGUUUGGAUUCUUCGUUCAGGCCAUUGUUACCGGAAAGGGUCCAUUGGAGAACCUUGCUGACCACCUUGCAGACCCCGUUAACAACAACGCUUGGGCUUUCGCCACAAACUUUGUCCCCGGAAAAUGAAUAUCAUAAUAUAAUUUUUUAAUUUUGAUUGUUCGAUGGCCCUGUAAAGUAGUUGUGACUUACUUGAUAAUAGAAUGGUUCUUUUUUCCAUAUUCCAGUGAUUGUGUAGUUCUGAGUUACAUUUUCCAAAUCUACGAAUCAAAUAUUGCCACUUCCAUACCAAAGGGGAAAUUAAAGAAAGAGAACAGAGCAAAAAGACUGAAGAUACAUAUGAGAUGUGGUAACAAGAAAAACUAUAAAGCUGUUGUAAGCUUAAAACUUGAAUUUUCAGACCAGAGGAACUUAUGGAAUUCAGUUAAUUCUCGAGAAACAAUACUCAAAAUUAGUGUAAAGUACUAAUGUUGAACAACAUGAUGUUAUUACAUGAUUCCUCAUUUAUCUAUCGAAAAGUGAGAGGAAAUAAGAGGACAUUGUUUCAUUUCACUACCAGAACAUUGAGACAGGGGAAGAAAACCAAUAUGUUUUGUAGUCUGAAUGUAGUAAGUAAUAUAUGAGUUUCCAGGUCCAUACAGUAUGUCUCCUUUGAACAAAUUCAUAAAUUUCUUGUAAAAUCCUCCUGCCUCACAUGAGGUACUAUCUUUAGAUUAAAAGCAUCCUUGACAGAUCCUUCAAAACAAGGUACAUAGUAAUGACCAGAGCACAAAGGACAUACAUAUGUAGUUAGAAGAAGACACAAGUACUGCUAAAUAUGACACUUAUUGGCAACAAAUUCAAGUUCCAUGCACUAAUAACGUAAACAAUAUUUACACAAAUUACUUAGUAAGUAAUUAAAGGUAAAUCACUUGAUAACAUUAAUCGGUAGUCUGGUAAAAAAUGGGAAUUGCCUACUAUCACACGUUAAAAUUUACUGAUGUAACUUCUAUUUCCCUUAACGCAGCGCAAAAUUGUGAUGCUGAUGAAUUCCAACAAAUUAAAAUCUUUGCUCAUAUUCUUCUGAACAAGCUCUUUCCAAGGCUCAGCAUUGCUCAUGUAGUAGUUAAGUAACACGUACUAAGCCGCAUUAAAUCUCUAAACCUAACAGUAUUGUGAAUGAGCAUAAAACAAUAUAACCUGUGUGGCUAACAUAAACAACUUUGGUAAUUAAGGUCUAAUAUAAUAAAGUUUCAAUCACAUUGCUUUCCAAACAUAAAGAUGCAUUAUUAAGUUCCCAAAAUUUAUGAAUCAAGUAGUAAUAAAUUUCAACUUUUCCUCAAAUUUCCUAAACCAUAGUUCUACAUUGAAUGAAGUAUAGUGGUGGUAUGUUUUACCCUGCAGGUAGAUAAAAUCUAGAGAAAUGCCAAGUGGAUAAUGAUAGGGAUAUCAUAUUGUAAGCUCAACAAAUCACAGGGCAGAUUCCAAUCCUUGUGGCAACAUAUGAGAGGACAAUAUUGGUUGUGUCCCUUGCUGGAAAAUUGAUGGAUUGGAGAUUGCUAAAUGUGCAUAAUUGCUACAAGUAGGAUCUUGAUAGCCAAUGAGAUCAUAGAUAUAGAUUUCACUAGAUAAGGACUCUUUCCCUCUUUCUUAAUUCCUAUAUAUGGUGAAUUAAUUCCCUUGUAACUUCAUCUCAUCACAGCCUUCAACAAUAUUUCAUACCAUCAAACACUCAACACUUUUCUCUUAAUCUAAAUCAUGGCAGCUGCUACAAUGGCUCUUUCUUCCCCUUCUUUUGCUGGACAGGCAGUGAAACUUUCACCAUCUGCCUCAGAAAUUUCUGGAAAUGGAAGGAUCACUAUGAGAAAGGCUGUCGCCAAGUCUGCCCCAUCUAGCAGCCCAUGGUAUGGCCCUGACCGUGUUAAGUACUUGGGCCCAUUCUCUGGUGAGUCCCCAAGCUACUUGACUGGCGAAUUCCCUGGUGACUAUGGAUGGGAUACCGCUGGACUUUCAGCAGACCCUGAGACCUUUGCCAAGAACCGUGAACUUGAGGUGAUCCACUGCAGAUGGGCAAUGCUUGGUGCUCUUGGAUGUGUCUUCCCUGAGCUCUUGGCCCGUAACGGUGUCAAGUUCGGCGAGGCUGUGUGGUUCAAGGCCGGAUCCCAGAUCUUCAGCGAGGGUGGACUUGACUACUUGGGCAACCCAAGCUUGGUCCAUGCACAAAGCAUCUUGGCCAUUUGGGCUUGCCAAGUUGUGUUAAUGGGAGCUGUUGAGGGAUACCGUAUUGCAGGUGGACCUCUUGGUGAGGUCGUCGACCCACUCUACCCUGGCGGCAGUUUUGACCCAUUAGGUCUUGCUGAUGAUCCAGAGGCAUUUGCUGAGCUCAAAGUAAAGGAGAUUAAGAACGGCAGACUUGCUAUGUUCUCUAUGUUUGGAUUCUUCGUUCAGGCCAUUGUUACCGGAAAGGGUCCAUUGGAGAACCUUGCUGACCACCUUGCAGACCCCGUUAACAACAAUGCAUGGGCCUUUGCCACAAACUUUGUUCCCGGAAAAUGAAUAUCAUAAAACGUUCUCUAGAUAUUAUUGUUUGAUGGCUUUGUAAAGUUUUAGUUGUGAGUUUACUUGACAAUAGAAUGGAUUUUUCUUAGUCCUGAAUUUCAUUUUCCAAUGAUGAAUGAAAUACUGCAAAAUUCAUAUUGAAGGGGAAAAUUGAUGACAAAGCAAAAAUAACAAGACCAAAGUUACAUUUGAGAUGUGGUAAAAGCUUAAACCUGAAUAUACAGACCAGAGAC